rnacentral:lncRNA from 1 species
UGCGGCGCUGCGUCUCCCGGCUGUGGGUGUGGUUGGUACUGAGGGCUCAGUGGGUGCCGCCAGCCUAGAGGGAGUGGAGGGGUGAGCACGUCAGCGGUGGGGGGCGCAGGUCCAGCUUUCUCCAUUUUUAAUUAUUUGAUGGGGUAAAUUUGAGCAAAUUUCUCGACUUGUCGACAUUUGUUAUUAACUGAGCGGGAAUUAGGAGACGAACCUGGUCCUCUCCGCACAGCCCAGCAGAUCCUGCGAGGAGGCUGCUACACACAUGCAGAAGUCAUGCUGGUGGCCUGGACUCCGAAGGGAGAGAAGUGGAUUUGAGAGACAUUUAGGAGGUAGGAUUGCUGGGGCCUUGGUGAUAGCUUGGUUGUGGAGGGUGGAGCAGGAGGGGUGUCAAGCAGAUAUUGCUGUUAGAUUACCACCUGGGAUAUUAGGGAGAGUGAGUGGGCUGUUUUUUCUUUGUUAGGCAGAACUUGGUUUUGUGGUGCGGUAGGGUGCCUCAAACCAAAAGCCUGACUUCCUUGUAUAGGCCAGACCCCACAUGGCCGUUCCUGUGACUGCCAGGCCACUUUGAGGCUGAGAGAGGUGGUUUUGUCUGGCCUCUGCCCUGCACGUGUUUACGAAUGACUUCUCUGUGUUGGCAGAUUUGGGGGUCCACCAUAUAGGAUCCUGUGAAGAGACCUCAAAGGUCUUUAAUCCAAUUUAUAAAACAUCUUUUUGUUCAUUAUAUCAUUUCCACAAUCAAAGAUGAAUAAAAUAUACAGAGGUUUAUUUAGUGAAUAAGGUUGAUGGUGCACCUGUGCUAGGCAGUGUUUUAGUUCGUUGAGACACCAAGGAGUUGAGCCAAUCCUUUACUUUGGAGUUUUGUGUCUGUAAGUCCUGCUGUUGAGAGCUGUGUGUGUUAAAAUGUCUGAUUUGGGCAGGUGAGAUCUGGGCCGUCUGUAAGGUUAGGUGAGAGGAGGUUGGUGUCCAGCAAGUAUCCAGUGCCCCAUCAACAUCCCAGUUCUUGUCCACCAAUCUUCCAGUUCUAGGACUGAUGCGGAGGCCCUCAGAGCGACUUCAGAGGAAAAGUAGUGUGCUCUGUGGCUGUCUGUUUUGGAGUGUAAAUUGUAAAUCCCCUGCAAACAAGAAGUUGGAAACAAGUAGCGUUUCAGCUUGAGUUUCUUGUAAAUGGCUUGCAGUUGUAUGAACCAGAGCAUGUAUACCACAGGGCAACACGAGGGUCCCUCUAUCACCAUUUCUCCCAGUGGCCUAGGUGGGGAUUUAAACAGAAUAAUGUGUGCAGCCUCAUUGUGUGAAAGUCCAGUAUUUUGUGCUUGGAGUGUCAUCAGGGAAGGGCCCCUGACUUUGAAGGCUGCUGCAUCUCGCUCCAUGAUAGGAGGCACAACGUGGCCUUGGUCUUACGAAGACCUUGGGUGCCACAGCUCACUUCAGCCCUGAUGAGCCUGACGCAGGCGCUGGGUCCUGGUUCUGGAGGUGAGAAUACACCCUGGGCCUCCACUGCAUGGCUGCACUGUGAGCAUUCAGGUGCUUGUUUGGGGACUGAUACGGAGUCCUGUGCCAGAUGCAGUGGUGCACACCUGGGAACCAAGGGUCCCUGCUUCUACUGGAGAAUCUGGACAGAUGUAAAAGGUAAGAAAGGCUGGGGGUAGGGGUUAGGGUUAAGGUUAGGCUUGGGGCUGGGGUUGGGAUUGUGGCUGGGGUUGGGGUUGUGUUUAGUUUUAUGAUUAGGGUUUAGUGUUAGGGGUUAGGGUUUUAGUGUUAGCAUUUUAGGGUUAUGGUUAGGGGUUAGGGUUGGGGUUAUGGUAAGGUGUUAAAGGUUAGGGCUAAGGUUUAGGGUUAGGGUUGGGGUUAAGGGUAAGGAUUACAGCUUUUAGGGUUAGGGUGCUUGGCAAAAUGGGUCCACCCUCUCCCAGGUAACUCUGGCUCUAGGCCCUCUUUUAUGUCCUGGCCUGCCCCACCAGUCCCCUGUAGCCCUCUGCUGACCUAACCUCCACGCUGUACGUUCUUACUUAUAAGUGGGACAUAAGCUAUGAUGAUGAUUCCAAGGCCUAAGAAUGAUAAGUGGGCUUUGGGGACUUAGGGGGAAAGGUGAGAGGGAGGUGAGGGAUAAAACCCUACACAUUGGGUACAUUGUACUCUGCUUGGGCUAUGGGUGGACCAAAAUCUCAGAAACCAUCAAUAAAGAACUUUAGCAUUUAACCAAAACCACCUGUUCCCCAAAACUAUUGAAAUAAAAUAAAAUAAAAUAAAAUAAUAACA